GGGCACUGAGUGCUUAUUGCACCACAUGUGUUUUUCUUUGAAACAAACUUGCUUUGGCGGUGGGCCCAGCCUGCCGCCAGAGGUCUAAACUUACAACCAAUUUUUUAUCAACUUGUCACACCAGAUUAUUACUAAUAGUCAAAACUUUCAACAACGGAUCUCUUGGUUCUCGCAUCGAUGAAGAACGCAGCGAAAUGCGAUACGUAAUAUGAAUUGCAGAUAUUCGUGAAUCAUCGAAUCUUUGAACGCACAUUGCGCCCUCUGGUAUUCCGGAGGGCAUGCCUGUUUGAGCGUCGUUUCUCCCUCAAACCGCUGGGUUUGGUGUUGAGCAAUACGACUUGGGUUUGCUUGAAAGACGGUAGUGGUAAGGCGGGAUCGCUUUGACAAUGGCUUAGGUCUAACCAAAAACAUUGCUUGCGGCGGUAACGUCCACCACGUAUAUCUUCAAACUUUGACCUCAAAUCAGGUAGGACUACCCGCUGAACUUAAGCAUAUCAAAAGGCCGGAGGAA
rnacentral:rRNA from 1 species